AGAGUUUGAUCCUGGCUCAGGAUAAACGCUGGCGGCGUGCCUAACACAUGCAAGUCGAACGCCCUUGAGCAAUCAAGGGAGUGGCGGACGGGUGAGUAACACGUGAGUACCUACCCUUUAGUUUGGAAUACCGGCGAGAAAUCGCCGACAAAACCGUAUACGCUUGGGUCUCCAAGGAAAGCUCGCAAGAGCGCUAAAGG
rnacentral:rRNA from 1 species